rnacentral:rRNA from 1 species
CCUACGGGAGGCAGCAGUGAGGAAUAUUGGUCAAUGGACGAGAGUCUGAACCAGCCAAGUAGCGUGAAGGAUGACUGCCCUAUGGGUUGUAAACUUCUUUUAUAUGGGAAUAAAAUGUUCCACGUGUGGGAUUUUGUAUGUACCAUAUGAAUAAGGAUCGGCUAACUCCGUGCCAGCAGCCGCGGUAAUACGGAGGAUCCGAGCGUUAUCCGGAUUUAUUGGGUUUAAAGGGAGCGUAGGUGGAUUGUUAAGUCAGUUGUGAAAGUUUGCGGGUCAACCGUAAAAUUGCAGUUGAAACUGGCAGUCUUGAGUACAGGAGAGGUGGGCGGAAUGCGUGGUGUAGCGGUGAAAUGCGUAGAUAUUAGGAGGAACACCGGUGGCGAAGGCGGCUUGCUGGACGGUAACUGACGUUGAGGCUCGAAAGCGUGGGUAGCAAACAGGAUUAGAUACCCCAGUAGUC